rnacentral:rRNA from 1 species
GAGGGCGCCUUACACAUGCAGUCGCACGAAGGUUUCGGCCUUAGUGGCGGACGGGUGAGUAACGCGUAGGAAUCUAUCCAUGGGUGGGGGAUAACUCUGGGAAACUGGAGCUAAUACCGCAUGAUACCUGAGGGUCAAAGGCGUAAGUCGCCUGUGGAGGAGCCUGCGUUCGAUUAGCUUGUUGGUGGGGUAAUGGCCUACCAAGGCGAUGAUCGAUAGCUGGUCUGAGAGGAUGAUCAGCCACACUGGGACUGAGACACGGCCCAGACUCCUACGGGAGGCAGCAGUGGGGAAUAUUGGACAAUGGGGGCAACCCUGAUCCAGCAAUGCCGCGUGUGUGAAGAAGGUUUUCGGAUUGUAAAGCACUUUCGGCGGGGACGAUGAUGACGGUACCCGCAGAAGAAGCCCCGGCUAACUUCGUGCCAGCAGCCGCGGUAAUACGAAGGGGGCUAGCGUUGCUCGGAAUGACUGGGCGUAAAGGGCGUGUAGGCGGUUUGUACAGUCAGAUGUGAAAUCCCCGGGCUUAACCUGGGAGCUGCAUUUGAUACGUGCAGACUAGAGUGUGAGAGAGGGUUGUGGAAUUCCCAGUGUAGAG